rnacentral:rRNA from 1 species
AAUCAACGCUGGCGGCGUGCCUAACACAUGCAAGUCGAACGAGAAAGUGGGGGCAACUCCAUGAGUACAGUGGCAGACGGGUGAGUAACACGUGAACAAUCUACCCUUGAGUGGGGAGUAACACCGCGAAAGCGGUGCUAAUACCGCAUAACAUCUCCGGGUCGCAUGGUCUGGAGAUCAAAAGCGAAAGUUGCUCGAGGAGGAGUUCGCGCCUGAUUAGCUAGUUGGUGAGGUAACGGCCCACCAAGGCAACGAUCAGUAGCCGGCCUGAGAGGGCGAACGGCCACACUGGAACUGAGACACGGUCCAGACUCCUACGGGAGGCAGCAGUGGGGAAUUUUGCGCAAUGGGCGAAAGCCUGACGCAGCAACGCCGCGUGGAGGAUGAAGGCCUUCGGGUCGUAAACUCCUGUCAGUGGGGACGAAUGCUUCGCAAGAAGUUUGACUGUACCCGCUGAGGAAGCCACGGCUAACUCCGUGCCAGC